GUGUCCUCGCCCCAGUCCUGGGUGAAGUUAACAGGUAGGUGUGAGGAACUGGUAGGCUUUUGGCUAAGGACGCUGGGCAAAGGUGGAAGUGGCUGUGAGAUAAUGCUUGCCUAUCCAGGCUUGCUCCCGCCCCAGUCUGCUCUUUGUGGUGUUGGAAUGCUAAUAAGGAAGCAUUCCCUGCUGCCGGCACGGCCAAGAAUCCCUGGACUGAAGAGGUGCUUCCGCUGAUGAUAGGGGCAGAUCCUCCUUUGCUCCCUUCUAACCUCUGGACAAAGAAGCAGCCAUUCACAAGGGUCAUUGAUGAGGCACAGGUAUUUGGCCUCAGAUUGCUCUCCUAGCUUCUUGCCUUCACUGUACCAUCCUUCUCAAAUUAAGCAAAACGCGGGACAGUCUGAUGCUGGCUAUGAGUUUGACAUCUGCUUCACCUCAGUGCAGAAGAGAGCGAUCCGGACCCUCUGGACAGUGCUAGAUGCCAUUGAUCAGAUGUGGCUGCCAGUGGUGAGGACUUGGCGCCUCAACGAGCGGCACUAUGGGGGUCUAACCGGUCUCAAUAAAGCAGAAACUGCUGCAAAGCAUGGUGAGGCCCAGGUGAAGAUCUGGAGGCGCUCCUAUGAUGUCCCACCACCUCCGAUGGAGCCCGACCAUCCUUUCUACAGCAACAUCAGUAAGGAUCGCAGGUAUGCAGACCUCACAGAAGAUCAGCUACCCUCCUGUGAGAGUCUGAAGGAUACUAUUGCCAGAGCUCUGCCCUUCUGGAAUGAAGAAAUAGUUCCCCAGAUCAAGGAGGGGAAACGUGUACUGAUUGCAGCCCAUGGCAACAGCCUCCGGGGCAUUGUCAAGCAUCUGGAGGGUCUCUCUGAAGAGGCUAUCAUGGAGCUGAACCUGCCCACUGGUAUUCCCAUUGUCUAUGAAUUGGACAAGAACUUGAAGCCUAUCAAGCCCAUGCAGUUUCUGGGGGAUGAAGAGACGGUGCGCAAAGCCAUGGAAGCUGUGGCUGCCCAGGGCAAGGCCAAGAAGUGAAGGCCGGCGGGGAGGAUACUGUCCCCAGGAGCACCCUCCCUGCCUGUCUUGUCCCUCUGCCCCUCCCACCUGCACAUGUCACACUGACCACAUCUGUAGACAUCUUGAGUUGUAGCUGCAGAUGGGGACCAGUGGCUCCCAUUUUCAUUUAGCCAUUUUGUCGCC
rnacentral:sRNA from 1 species